UACGUAGGGUCCGAGCGUUGUCCGGAAUUACUGGGCGUAAAGAGCUCGUAGGUGGUUUGUCGCGUUGUUCGUGAAAACUCACAGCUCAACUGUGGGCGUGCGGGCGAUACGGGCAGACUUGAGUACGUGCAGGGGAGACUGGGAAUUCCUGGUGUAGCGGUGGAAUGCGCAGAUAUCAGGAGGAACACCGGUGGCGAAGGCGGGUCUCUGGGCAGUAACUGACG
rnacentral:rRNA from 1 species